AAGUGCUCUAACCAACAGAUCACAGUACUCCACAAUUCAAUUUUAUUAUACAAGUUAACACUGGACCUCGGUUUAGUGUCAUAUCUAAGGUUGGCAACUCCGACAAUCCGGCACAUGCCUAGCACUGAAAUAUGGAGGUUAUUUUCAAUCUGAGCAGCUUUGUGCAAAAACGUCCCUGGUGCUACCUGGCCUGUGUGUUUUGCAGCAGUUACUUUCUCCAGUAUCAGGGGUUCCUGUUGAUAUUCCAUUGAUAUAAGGCUCAGUUGUUGUACGUUGAUGAAGAGAGGAAGAAGAUAUUUGAAAUACCGGAAGUAAUGGCAGAGCUUGUUUUUCCAGAAUACCUGUUCAAGAUGUAACAACUUCUUCUCAAAUGGUGAACAGGAAUUUUCUGGUGCAAAUAAAUGGAGGAAAGCAGAGUUCCUCGAGAGCCUGGAUGAAAGGAACGCUGAGGGAUGACCAAACCACCAGGGCUCAGUACUGAUUCUGCCAAUUAGAAUGAAGUCAGGAGCUCAAUAUGGUCAGUGUCUGAGGUGAGUUUAAUAACAUUGGCCACAAACAUUACAAAAGAGCACUUCAACAACAAUCUUGUUUAACAAACACAAAUUUAUUUGAUUUUUCCAAAAUCUUGUUUUGCUUUCAACUGAUUAUACUAAUUUCAAGGCUUAUUGUUUCCCAAGCAGA